UACACAAUACGCUAGAAAUUCAGGUAGUCAACAGUCUUAACUUGCUUAUCAAGAUUCUCAAACUGUUGCUCUACCAUGACAGUAGUUGAUCUGAAACAGUUUCCAUCUAUAGGUAGAUGCCAGCAGAAUGCUAUCUGGCAGUGCAACAACAUACAGUUAUCUUCUUGUGAUUUACACUACGUUUUACCAGUGACCAUUUUUGACUUUUGACCAUGUGACUUACACAAGUUUUUCUAUCUAUAGACUGAUAGACACAUGGCAUUUAUGGCUCAGCGUGAUCGAAUGUUUCUGAAAAGAUGGCAGCAUGCAAGUUGCAUUCAUCUGGACACCUCGUUGUCAAUGUCUUCACGCUGAGCAUCUCAGGACCAUCUAAAUGUUUUUUGUCUCUUUGCUUUCUAACGUGUUAUCCUGAGGAAACAAGUGCCAACAUUGUCCUGAGUGAGUCACACUUGUACUAGCUGUUCACCGAAGCAGGAACAUUUCAUCAGUGUCGGGUCAAAGAAAAUUCCUGAACAACCACCAGGGAACCAUUCCGGUCACCACGGCAACAACUGAUCCUGGAAUCCAGCCUCCCUUUGGUCUGGUCCAGUAAGACCUUCACGUUUCAGAAAGCAGAGAAGGGCACCUGAAGGGUAUGGGCAAGUUAAACUUCCUGCAGAAUUACUAGCAUAUAUACACGUUAACACAAGCACUGUGAUAGUUUUUGCUGAAGGAUUAGUUCACUCUAAAAAUGAACAUUUGCUGUAAAGGUACUCACAUUAAAGAAGUAGAUUAGAUUCUUCAUCAGAGAACAGAUUUUGAGAAAUUUAACAUUGCAUCACUUGCUUACCAAAGGAUCAUCUGCAGUGAAAUGGGUGCCGUCAGAUUGAGUUCAAACAGCUGAUGAAAACAUCACAAUACCACCACACCACUCCGGCUACCAAUACGCAGCGAAACUUGAAGUGACAACAACUGAACCUUGAACCGAAAAAAAGGCAACGCGACAUCCGUAAUAAAACAGGAAUCAACAGUAUCCAGAGCAUCACAUCUGCUGUGCAUUGAGAUUCACAAACAAGUUUUUGUUGCUAAAAAUGGCAGCCUAUAAACCAGUCACUUUGAUCUGUUUGCAAAAAUACAGUUUCCACCAUUAUUUGAUAAGAAUAACAGUGGUUAUGUCGAAAGACAGCAUUGUGAAAUAUUAGUAACAUUAAAACUGAUUUCAACAGUCAUAGCAACAGCAUAUAAGCUGCUUACCUGCUCACAAGGCAGGUAAUAAUUUAUUCAUUAUUAAUGCAAUCAUCCGCCUCAAGCCAUCAGAGCCAUCCACGCAGAACAACUGCCGUUUUCUGCAAAUAACAUGUUUUGAGCUUGAACCGCCAAAGGGACAAAUUCAAUUCAUUAUUUACCUGACCCAAAACUCUCAGAAGACAUUACAAUUAUCUGUGCAAACACAGGGUUAAUUUUUCUUUAUUUUCUUAGAGCAUCUGUGAAAUGUAUUGGGCAAGACCAAUUCUGUGGUAACUUCUUAACUCGUGUCUAAAUGUAGGGUGAAUUGUGCUCAUCUAAGCAUACUUCAACAUGUUCAAACACACCUAUGUUCAGGGUUUUGCCCUGCAGUGAUAUUCACCUCUAUUCUUUAAAUAUCUUCAAGCUUCAGCAGGGUUUACCUAGCUUAUGUCUAACACAUUUUAAGAUGUCGUAAUUAUAUACUCACCGUAUGAUUCAGCAAAGAACCCUCUUUGUUAUAAGAGCCAUUUCUUGCUGUAGGAUUCUUGCUUUUUCAUUGUGUGAACUUGUUUAUAUUUUGGCUUCUUGCUGUUUUAUAGUUGAAUCAGCAUGCACUCUUAGCCCAUAUUUUCUUCAAUUACAUGUUGUGCAGAUACAUUCAGAAUGUUUUUAUCUGUUGAUACAUGUUAAUACACAAGCAAUGAUGAAUAAAGAUGAACUACUGAUAGGACAUGACAUUAUUUUAUUAUGUGAGAAGAAAGUGUGCUAUGAAAUUGGUUAUCAUAAACAUUACACACUGCGUUUGGUCGAUCAGAAGUGAGUAUGGUACGUAUUCAUUUCAGGAGGGUAGGUCAUAAUACAUUUAACAAACUGAAAGUGCACCAAGCCAGCAGCUGCUGAUGGGGGUAUUCUCCGAUGCAUUUGUUUUUUUCUAAUCUCCAGCAUUGUUCUCAUGGUUAACCCUCUCUUAUGCUCAGUAUUCAAGCGUAGCUCCGGCUCCCAUCUGCUGCCAGUCAAGAGUCUUUCACAGACUGAGGCCCUCAGGGGUCCGACACAGUGUUUCUCAUCAUUUAUCUGGUGUUCU